ensembl:lincRNA
CUUGAAAGCCUCAAGAUCCUUUGCCAAGAAGACCGGCUACUUGUAUCCCAUUGUGCACCUUUAUUGUCUGGACGGUACGGAUUUAGUGGUUACUGUGCUAUCUGGUAGUUUUCCCCACUCUUCCACCACUCCAUGGCCGCAAAAGUAUGUCCUGACAUCCGGACGAGUACGGUGAGUUUGGAGUAGAUGUCCACAUCAUCAUUGAGCCCACUCUUCCACCACUCCAUGGCUGCAAAAGUAUGUCCUGACAUCCGGACGAGUACGGUGAGUUUGGAGUAGGUGUCCACAUCAUCAUUGAGGUGGUGGGGGCUUCAUUUACCAUGUACCUUUAACCUGUUUAAUAUCAACUUACAAACAUCAACAGCGGGUGUACAGUGAUUCAGAGUGAGAUUUCUUCCUGAGGUUGUCGUGAGAGCAAAAUGAAGAAUUCGUCCAUUGCUUACAUCAUUGCCGAUGUGGCCGUGCUGCUGUUGCAGCUCACUGGUAGGUUUUUGGAACGUAUUUGGAAGUUGGCUAAGGUACCGGCACACAAUGGCCUUUUUCGAAAUCCAACACCCGGAUCUUCGAUGUGCACCAGCAAAUGCGAGCAAACAGGGAACCAAAUUGUGUCCAAAGGACGGCGUACUCGUUGAUACAGCACCCUGGAUGACACAGUUUAUCGUUGGGUCGGGAAUCAAACCCAGAUUAGACAGCUCAAUGUGAACAUGCUACCGAUCGGAGCUGUCCUGCCAGAUAAGAUCAAGAGUGAAACAAAGACACAGGUGUGCUUCGUCAUACGCGGACUGGAGGUGAUUAUCUGGGUGCGCCCACCUACCUGGCCUACCUGGACCACCCGAAUUGCAGAAAUGUAUAAUCGGCACAUUGGUGGAUCUAACUGCGGGGGUAAAAUUAGUAUCGGCUACUUACAGGUGCAUUUCAACCUGAGAGCUACACCUGCAGUCGUGACCGUGCCAGUAAGACUAAACCAUGCAGUCGUACCUGUGAUGCAGGAGAUGCGUGAGAAUGACCCAUCAAGCCGUGGAUCCCAGUCUCUCCUUUUGGAGCGCCUGUGGAAUCGCUGGCCUGGUACAACUGCGACACCUUGUCCAGCACGAUCUCCCACCCGUUCGUCGGUGAGCAUUCCCUCGUCGUUGCCGUCGCGAGUGAGUGGCGUCGCGAUCGCAAGCGACCGAAUUGGUCGUGCUCCCGCAGAGGCUCAGGCAGGUCUUGAGCCUCGUCACGCAAGCUCCGUGCGGUCUCCGUUCGCAGCUCCAGUCUUCGUUUCGUCCCUCUCUUCUCGGUUCCUCGUCGAUCCGGCUCUCGCUGGGUCUCUCUUCCAUGAAAAGCGCGAGGAGACGCCCGAUGGCGGAGCGGGUCCAAGCAUCGACGCCUCGUGCAAUCUGGAGGAAGAAGGUCUGGGAUAUCCAGGUGAAAUAAACUGCCCAGAGAUGCCACCGAGGAAGAGGUACAGAGACUCAGCUGCGCGAAGCGUGCUUCCAUCACCAUGUCAGAAUAGUCUGGGGAAGAGUCCUGGAGAGAAGAUGAAACAUAAUUUAUUUCCUCAAACGGAAUUUAGUUUUUUUGCAAAGGGAAAAUUACUACCUCGACAAUUUGCAGCGUCUUUACAGCCUCCUGUAUGUUGUUGUCAAUUUGUACUUUGCAGCAGCGUUGUGUCUAUCCAGUUAGGCAUAGCUCCUUCAUGAGACCAUCAUCCAUUGAAAACAUUCAAAAUGACUGCUACAUGGUACUGGAGUCCGUUUAUUACUGGGUCAGGAGAUGAACCCAGAUCAAACAUAAAAUCGCUAUCUCCCCAGCAGCCCGUUAAAUAAUCGUUAUUAAUCUAAAUUCAAUCAAGGUAUCAAAAAUAAACGAUGCUAACUUCACAUCAUGAUAAAUCGAAUUGGCUGUGUUGUUCAUAUUAACGUUCAACGUGGGAACAGCUAUAAGAAUAUGAAAAUCAAUGUUUGGUUUCAAUUUCAGUUUAUACAUUCCACUACCACCCCAUAAUAUUUGGGGGGG